CAACAAGUGAUAUCUCAGCUGCUCAUACCUACCACAAGUACUGACUGACUAAUGUGACCCCUCGCAGUCUCGUUCUCUCACUAACAGUGUCGCCCUCUAACUAACACAUAUAAUCACACAAUCUUAGUUUUACUCACACUUCUUCGCUCCCUCCAUUGCUUACACAUACAUACUCUGUCUUACGCCAUUUACUCCGUCAGGGCUGUUAAUGCCACAGUCCAUUGGGGAGGACACAGUCCAUUGGGGAGGACACCAGUGUCUACUCUACCAAUGUUUUGGAGAGACACAUACAUUCACUAACCUUCAUUAAAUAUUUAAAC
rnacentral:lncRNA from 1 species